GGGUUGAUUUCUUAUCUCAAGUAAAUCACCAGUAAGCAAGGCCUAUUGUUUCCUACCAAUAGCCAGAGUAUAAAAUAAUGGAAUUAACAAGAAGUUUCUACCACCAUUAGAAUCUUGAACACUUACUUACGUUACAAACCCAAACCCAUAGAUCCCACAACUCGGGUUAAGGGAAUUUAGCUACUCAUAAUAAAAUAAUCAAGACA
rnacentral:lncRNA from 1 species